rnacentral:rRNA from 1 species
AGAAUCAACGCUGGCGGCGUGCCUAACACAUGCAAGUCGAACGAGAAAGUGGAGCAAUCCAUGAGUAAAGUGGCGCACGGGUGAGUAACACGUGACUAACCUACCUUUUAGUGGGGGAUAACCUAGGGAAACCUGGGCUAAUACCGCAUAACACUUACGAGUCAAAGCAGCAAUGCGCUGAAAGAGGGGGUCGCGGCCGAUUAGCUAGUUGGCGGGGUAAUGGCCCACCAAGGCAGUGAUCGGUAUCCGGCCUGAGAGGGCGCACGGACACACUGGAACUGAAACACGGUCCAGACUCCUACGGGAGGCAGCAGUGGGGAAUUUUGCGCAAUGGGGGAAACCCUGACGCAGCAACGCCGCGUGGAGGAUGAAGUCCCUUGGGACGUAAACUCCUUUCGAUCGGGACGAUAAUGACGGUACCGGAAGAAGAAGCCCCGGCUAACUUCGUGCCAGCAGCCGC